AGGGUCCGUAGGCGGACUCGUAAGUCAGUGGUGAAAUCUCAUAGCUUAACUAUGAAACUGCCAUUGAUACUGCGGGUCUUGAGUAAGGUAGAGGUAGCUGGAAUAAGUAGUGUAGCGGUGAAAUGCAUAGAUAUUACUUAGAACACCAAUUGCGAAGGCAGGUUACCAUGUCUUAACUGACGCUGAUGGAACGAAAGCGGUGGGGAGCGAACAGGAUUAGAUACCCGGGU
rnacentral:rRNA from 1 species